AUGGAUGAUGAGAAGGACAAAAUAAUUAGGAAGGAAAACACAGAUAAAGCUAAGCGCCAUGUAUGGAAAUCUUCAGAGGACAAAAUACUACUCAAUAUAUUGAAAGAUCAAAGUCUACAGGGAGGGAAAGAAGGAACAGGUUACACAAAGAAAGCAUGGCGUGAUAUCUUAGGACAAUUCAACGAUUCAAGGGUAGAUAAACUUGAAUUACAACAACUGAAAAAUCGUCAUAAGUACUACAGGAGUUGCUACAGUACCAUGGACAGACUUCUAAAACUCACGGGAUUUGGUUGGGACGAUGAUGAUAAAAUGAUAAAAGCUUCAAAAGAAAAUUGGGAAGAACUAAUUAAGAAGGAUAAGUCACUACAGGAAUAUCGAGAUAAGGGUGGCCUAGUUGGGUAG
rnacentral:rRNA from 1 species